UCCGUGCUGCAGGGAGAAUGGACUGCCAUACACGUUAUGUGUCUGUGAGCGAGGGAGGGAGAGAAAGGAAAAGUCCGAGCUGUCACGGAGCAAAAACGGGAGCUGGAAGCAUGUAAAUAUAAUAAUAACCACUGCAGCCAAGAAGAGUGCCUGAGGAGCCCAUUUUGUUUAUCUGGUCCGGGUUGCGGAGGCUGCAGUCUAAACUGGGAUGCCCAGACCUCCUUCUCCUCAGGUGUUCCUGUGCCAGGUGACAGAUGUAAUCUCUCCAGUGUCCUGGAUCUGCCCGAGAGCCUCCUCAUGGUAGGACAUCCCAAAACUCCUCACUUAGGUUGCACCCAGGAGGCACCCUGGGAUCGCCAGAUCACCUCAACUUGCUCCUUUUGAUGUGGAAGAGUAGCAACUAUUCCAGCACGUAGUCAUCUAAAAACUGAUCAACUGAAUAAAUGCUUGGUUUUCUGUUUGUUGAUGGUAACAUAUAAAUAUGAAGCGGCAGUAAAUAUGUUGGUUUCCAAACAUAAAAUUGAGCUAAAUCCUUUUCUUCUCAGUUUCACUGUUACUGUAGUUACUGCUUAGUAGACGGUGAAAGGGAUCCAUUUAUCUGAGAAUAUUGACUGAAACCUCCCAUUUAAGCUUGUCAGAGAGACUGAUGCUAGUGUAACCCCAGCUAAAUGAGGGAUGGACGUGGGCACCACCACAAGCUCCUCCAACCAUGUCCUCAGAGAGAUGAUAACAAACUAAGGAGGACACUCACCUUCACCUUGUUUAGUGUUGCCUCGGGGAUCCUCAGAGAGGAUUAUCAACUGCAUGACACCAACAAAAGGCAACUUCAACAAGAUCAGCAUCGGCACAGGAGAAGGUCAGCUGCCAGUUGAGAUAAUCACGAGACUCAAAACGGCAUCGUAGAGGAGCAAAUGGUUGAUUUCAGAGGAAAGAUUUGCUCUGCAGUGGAAGACAAACAGACGCACAAGCAGACAGUCAAUAAGAGGAAAUAAAUCAGAGCGAGACAGUUGCAGUCAGCAGGUGGAGUGAUGGGGAGGAAACUAAUGGUCAACUUCCCUCAGCUCAGUGUAUGUGUGUGUGUGUGUGUGACCCCUCAGGUCAGAUCUAUAAUGGAAGAUCCUCUCCUCCAUCUCACUGCUCUGCCCUUUGCGUUGCUACUGACACACACAAAUACACCCACACACACACCCACCCACCUAUUUUUUAACUGCAUGGACACAGCCUGAGAUCACAGCUACAGAGAAACACACAAAUCCCCACAUUUCAUGUAUAAAAUCACAUUAAAUCCAC
ensembl:lncRNA